UACGGAGGGUGCAAGCGUUAUCCGGGUUCACUGGGUUUAAAGGGUGCGUAGGUGGGCAGGUAAGUCAGUGGUGAAAUCUCCGGGCUUAACCCGGAAACUGCCGUUGAUACUAUUUGUCUUGAAUAUAGUGGAGGUGAGCGGAAUAUGUCAUGUAGCGGUGAAAUGCUUAGAUAUGACAUAGAACACCCAUUGCGAAGGCAGCUCGCUACACUAUCAUUGACGCUGAGGCACGAAAGCGUGGGGAUCAAACAGG
rnacentral:rRNA from 1 species